rnacentral:rRNA from 1 species
UGAGGAAUAUUGGUCAAUGGGCGCGAGCCUGAACCAGCCAAGUCGCGUGAGGGAUGACGGCCCUACGGUUGUAAACCUCUUUUGUCGGGGAGCAAAUUCCGCCACGUGUGGCGGAGUCGAGAGUACCCGAAGAAAAGCAUCGGCUAACUCCGUGCC